rnacentral:tmRNA from 1 species
GGGGGCGCUUUGGGUUCGACGGGAUUGGAAAGAGGCAAAAACUGCGUACCGUGGUCUCCGGCACCACGUAAAAUAGUCGGGAACUAAAUAUAAAUGCAGAUUACAAUUACGCAUUGGCCGCUUAAUUAGCGGUCACGUUUCUCUAAUCGAGACCUGCAUAAAUUAGAAGAAACGCCGCUUUUGCAGGUGCAGCCGGCAAUUUUCCGGGGUUGCCGGAAUAAGUUUUCCGGAUAGGCUUUUGAAUGGCUUUGUCUAUUGGGGCAUUCAAAAGCGACAUUGACCAAUAGACUAUGUAUGUAGAUGUUUUUGUCGGCUCUUUCUCGGACGCGGGUUCGAUUCCCGCCGCCUCCACAA